rnacentral:rRNA from 1 species
GCUAAGCCCUAAACAUUGAUUUAAUCAUAAUACAACACUCUCCGCCAGAGAACUACAAGUAAAAAACUUGAAACUCAAAGGACUUGACGGUGUCCCAUAUCGACCUAGAGGAGCCUGUCCUAUAAUCGAUAACCCCCGUUCCACCCCACCCUAACUAGCAUACCAGCUUAUAUACCGCCGUCGACAGCCUACCCCUUGAGGGUUAAACAGUAGACACAAUUGCUCAACCGUUAAUACGUCAGGUCAAGGUGUAGCACAUGUUAGGGAAGCGAUUGGCUACAUUUUUUAUCUUAAAAGAUACGAAAGGCACUAUGAAACAAUGCAUGAAGGUGAAUUUAGUAGUAAAGUAGAUAAGAGUGUCUGCUUUAACAACGCUCUGGGACGCGUACACACCGCCCGUCACCCUCCUCAAACAAACAUUAUUUUAUAUAAAUCAAAAUUUAAUACAAGAGGAGGU